AUUGAACGCUGGCGGCAUGCCUUACACAUGCAAGUCGAACGGUAACAGGUCUUCGGAUGCUGGCGAGUGGCGCACGGGUGAGUAAUACAUCGGAACGUGCCCAGACGUGGGGGAUAACGAGGCGAAAGCUUUGCUAAUACCGCAUACGAUCUAAGGAUGAAAGCAGGGGACCGCAAGGCCUUGCGCGUUUGGAGCGGCCGAUGGCAGAUUAGGUAGUUGGUGGGAUAAAAGCUUACCAAGCCGACGAUCUGUAGCUGGUCUGAGAGGACGACCAGCCACACUGGGACUGAGACACGGCCCAGACUCCUACGGGAGGCAGCAGUGGGGAAUUUUGGACAAUGGGCGAAAGCCUGAUCCAGCAAUGCCGCGUGCAGGAUGAAGGCCUUCGGGUUGUAAACUGCUUUUGUACGGAACGAAAAGGCUCUGGCUAAUACCUGGGGCACAUGACGGUACCGUAAGAAUAAGCACCGGCUAACUACGU
rnacentral:rRNA from 1 species